rnacentral:rRNA from 1 species
GACGAACGCUGGCGGCGUGCCUAAUACAUGCAAGUUGAGCGAUGAAGAUUGGUGCUUGCACCAAUUUGAAGAGCAGCGAACGGGUGAGUAACGCGUGGGGAAUCUGCCUUUGAGCGGGGGACAACAUUUGGAAACGAAUGCUAAUACCGCAUAACAACUUUAAACAUAAGUUUUAAGUUUGAAAGAUGCAAUUGCAUCACUCAAAGAUGAUCCCGCGUUGUAUUAGCUAGUUGGUGAGGUAAAGGCUCACCAAGGCGAUGAUACAUAGCCGACCUGAGAGGGGGAUCGGCCACAUUGGGACUGAGACACGGCCCAAACUCCUACGGGAGGCAGCAGUAGGGAAUCUUCGGCAAUGGACGAAAGUCUGACCGAGCAACGCCGCGGGAGUGAAGAAGGUUGUCGGAUCGUAAAACUCUGUUGGUAGAGAAGAACGUUGGUGAGAGUGGAAAGCUCAUCAAGUGACGGUAACUACCCAGAAAGGGACGGCUAACUACGUG